CACGUAGGGGACGAGCGUUGUUCGGAAUUACUGGGCGUAAAGGGCGCGUAGGCGGCCUGUUAAGUCGAACGUGAAAUCCCCGGGCUCAACCCGGGAACUGCGUCCGAUACUGGCAGGCUUGAAUUCGGGAGAGGGAUGUGGAAUUCCAGGUGUAGCGGUGAAAUGCGUAGAUAUCUGGAGGAACACCGGUGGCGAAGGCGGCAUCCUGGACCGAUAUUGACGCUGAUGCGCGAAAGCCAGGGGAGCAAACGGG
rnacentral:rRNA from 1 species